rnacentral:rRNA from 1 species
UACAGAGGUCUCAAGCGUUGUUCGGAUUCAUUGGGCGUAAAGGGUGCGUAGGCGGCGCGGUAAGUCGGGUGUGAAAUCUCGGGGCUUAACUCCGAAGCUGCAUUCGAUACUGCCGUGCUUGAGGACUGGAGAGGAGACUGGAAUUUACGGUGUAGCGGUGAAAUGCGUAGAUAUCGUAAGGAAGACCAGUGGCGAAGGCGGGUCUCUGGACAGUUCCUGACGCUGAGGCACGAAGGCCAGGGGAGCAAACGGG